rnacentral:rRNA from 1 species
UACGAGUGCUUCAAGCGUUAUCCGGAAUCAUUGGGCGUAAAGGGUGUGUAGGCGGCUGUAUUAGUCUCGCGUUAAAUCUCCCGGCUCAACCGAGAGGCUGCGUGGGAAACGGUACAGCUAAGAGGACGGAAGAGGUCUCUGGAACUCAUGGUGUAGCGGUGAAAUGCGUUGAUAUCAUGGGGAACACCAAAAGCGAAGGCAAGAGACUGGUCCGCUCCUGACGCUGAAACACGAAAGCGUGGGUCGCGAAUGGG